UGGGGGAUAUUGCACAAUGGGCGAAAGCCUGAUGCAGCGACGCCGCGUGGGGGAUGAAGGCUUUCGGGUUGUAAACCUCUUUCGCUAUCGAACAAGGCCCGCUUAGGGUGGGUUGAGGGUAGGUGGAGAAGAAGCGCCGGCUAACUACGUGCCAGCAGCCGCGGUAAUACGUAGGGCGCGAGCGUUGUCCGGAAUUAUUGGGCGUAAAGGGCUUGUAGGCGGCUUGUUGCGCCUGCUGUGAAAACGCGGGGCUUAACUUCGCGCGUGCAGUGGGUACGGGCAGGCUUGAGUGUGAUCGGGGUGACUGGAAUUCCAGGUGUAGCGGUGGAAUGCGCAGAUAUCUGGAGGAGCACCGAUGGCGAAGGCAGGUCACUGGGCCAUUACUGACGCUGAGGAGCGAAAGCAUGGGUAGCGAACAGG
rnacentral:rRNA from 1 species